AAAAAGGGCUUGUGCUGUGUAUAGCACAUCGUGGUUCUCUCUUGUAGGGGAUCGCGGUGCGGAAUCGAUAUCAAGAGAUUUCGAAAGCGUAAUUUUUGAUAACUGGGCUGCUCGUGGUCGUUAUCCUGGGCGCCCAA
rfam:Xenopus laevis strain J chromosome 2L, whole genome shotgun sequence.